rnacentral:rRNA from 1 species
AGAACGAACGCUGGCGGCAGGCCUCAAACAUGCAAGUCUAGGGGGUGUAGCAAUACAUCACCGGCGGACGGGUGCGUAACACGUGGGAAUAUACCUUUCGGUACGGAACAACUGCGGGAAACUGCAGCUAAUACCGUAUACGUCCUAGCGGAGAAAGAUUUAUCGCCGAAGGAUUAGCCCGCGUUCGAUUAGCUAGUUGGUGAGGUAAUGGCUCACCAAGGCGACGAUCGAUAGCUGUUCUGAGAGGAAGAUCAGCCACACUGGGACUGAGACACGGCCCAGACUCCUACGGGAGGCAGCAGUUGGGAAUCUUGGACAAUGGGGGAAACCCUGAUCCAGCCAUGCCGCGUGAGUGAUGAAGGCCUUCGGGUUGUAAAACUCUUUCGACGGGACGAUAAUGACGGUACCCGUAGAAGAAGCUCCGGCUAACUUCGUGCCAGCAGCCGC